rnacentral:rRNA from 1 species
GACGAACCGAGCGAACGUUGUUCGGAAUCACUGGGCUUAAAGGGCGCGUAGGCGGGCUGCCGCGUCGGGGGUGAAAUCCCACGGCUCAACCGUGGAACGGCCUCGGAUACGGGCGGCCUGGAGGGAGGUAGGGGCACGCGGAACUGUGGGUGGAGCGGUGAAAUGCGUUGGUAUCCACAGGAACUCCGGUGGCGAAGGCGGCGUGCUGG